rnacentral:rRNA from 1 species
GAUGAACGCUGGCGGCGUGCUUAACACAUGCAAGUCGAACGGGAAUUAUUUUAUUGAAACUUCGGUCGAUUUAAUUUAAUUCUAGUGGCGGACGGGUGAGUAACGCGUGGGUAACCUGCCUUAUACAGGGGGAUAACAGUCAGAAAUGGCUGCUAAUACCGCAUAAGCGCACAGAGCUGCAUGGCUCAGUGUGAAAAACUCCGGUGGUAUAAGAUGGACCCGCGUUGGCUUAGCUUGUUGGCAGGGUAACGGCCUACCAAGGCGACGAUCCAUAGCCGGCCUGAGAGGGUGAACGGCCACAUUGGGACUGAGACACGGCCCAGACUCCUACGGGAGGCAGCAGUGGGGAAUAUUGCACAAUGGGGGAAACCCUGAUGCAGCGACGCCGCGUGAAGGAAGAAGUAUCUCGGUAUGUAAACUUCUAUCAGCAGGGAAGAUAGUGACGGUACCUGACUAAGAAGCCCCGGCUAACUACGUG